rnacentral:siRNA from 1 species
UAUCAGAGUUAGUGACAGUCC